UGUGUAAUUACAAUAAUAGCCAAGAUACAUUUUGUUGCAUUUAUUCUAUCAUCUGUUACAUAUAUUUUGUCACCCCUCCUCAAUUUGUGCAUGGUAAAAACACUUCUCUCUCUCUUUAAAAAUUAUCCUCUCCCUUUAAAAAAAAAUAAUUCAUUUUUUCAUUUUUUUGAGGGUGGAAGAAGAUGACUUUUCUAAUUAACCGGAAUAUCAUCUUCUCUCCAUUCAUAGUAUUAAUUAUUAUAGAUCUAGUUUUUUGUUUGAAUAAGUCUUUUUUAAGUUGGUCUUUUCAAUUUGGAUUUUUAUAUUUUUGAAUAAAUUUUUGUGGUUUUUUCCCACCUCUUUGAUCCAAUGUUUUAGAUCGUUUAAACAUCUUUAGUGUUCGUUCAAAUUUUAAAUCCAAGUUCUUGUAGAUUUAAGAAUUGGGAAGGUGUGUAGAUCUAUCUUUCUAGAAUAUCAUGGAAGAUAAACCGAAAAUACUAGGUUUCGUCGGAUAGAGCGGAUUUUUUGUCAAGAUCGAAAGAAGAAUUAUCUAAUUAGCCUGCUCAACGGAACAUAGUUCUACGUUAUGUUAAAUUUACGGGAUCCAUGUCAUGGAUUUUUCUUUAUUUUUCGAUUAUUUUUUGCUUAUCUUGGAUUGUUGUUUAGUAUUUGGUUGAUCAAAUUUGGAAGAUCAUAUUGAGCUGUUUGUAAUAUGACUUUCAUUAUUUAUACUUAUAUAUGUCUUCAUCAAUACAUUCUAGUUUGAAAAAAAAAACAUGUGCUUGGUAAAACAACAUCUAGAUUGGCUUUAAGCAAUACAAAUCUAGUACUAGGAAGACCCUUAGUAAAGAUAUUAGCCAAUUGUUUUUUUUCUGAAACAUGAAAAAUGCAAAUAUCACCCGGAACAACACGUUUCUGAAUGUAAGGAAUCUAUGGCAUUCAUUGAAAAUUCUUCUUUUAAUUUUUUAAUAAAAGAAGAUAACAAGGAGGAAGAGGAAGCUGUUAGCAAAAUAUCAUCCACAUAUAGUAAAAGAAUUGCCAUACCGUUAGAACCUUUAUAGACAAACAUGGAACAAUCAGAUUUGCGAUGUGUUUUAUUUGAUCAUUAGUGGUUUGGUUCUUUUAAACUUUGAUUUGAUAUGCAUAAUCUUUGUUUUGAUGUUUGAUCGCAUUUUGGGUGUGGUUCAGACUGUUUGGAGUGACUUUGGGCUUAAGGCCAAGCAAAUCCUCUAUCACAGGCGUGACAGAGACAUGUCACGGGUGUGAUAUGUCUGUCACGGGCGUGAUAGAGCACUGCGGUGCUUGCCAUUUUUUUUAUAAAUAACCCCUUAUUUCGACCUAAAAUCAUUUCCAAUCAUCUCUAAAACCCUAAAACGUCUGAGACCUCUAUCGAACUCAUUUUCCCACUCAUCCCUCUCAUAUUUUGAUCCUUUGCUUGCGAUUCAUUCAAUUUCUGGAUAUACCAUUUCUUUUGCUUUCAAGAGAUCCUUGAUCCGUUCAAGACUUUUCAGUAUUUGUUCAAACUUCAGCUUCACGUUUUGGAAAAUUCAAGGCUUUUUUUUCAUCGUUCGAAGUAUCUUAACUGCGGAACAAGUGGUUAGCAGAAGUUACGGGGUAUGAUUGGUCUCAGGGUAUUCUUCACUCUCAAAUUCAUCCUAUUUUUAGUCAACUAUUAAAUUUCUAUUUUUAAAUUUCUAUUUUCAUUUCGUUUCUUUUUAUAGAUCGAUUAUAGGGUUUCAGUUGUUUUUUAUUUUUUUAUAAUUUUGACCUACGAUAUGCUUUAA